UACGUAGGGACCAAGCGUUGUUCGGAUUUACUGGGCGUAAAGGGCGCGUAGGCGGCGUGGUAAGUCAGCUGUGAAAUCUCCGAGCUUAACUCGGAACGGUCAGCUGAUACUGCUGUGCUAGAGUACAGAAAGGGCAAUCGGAAUUCUUGGUGUAGCGGUGAAAAUGCGUAGAUAUCAAGAGGAACACCUGAGGCGAAGGCGGGUUGCUAGGCUGAUACUGAGCUGAGGCGCGAAAGCUAGGGUAGCAAACGGG
rnacentral:rRNA from 1 species